GCAAAUUUCAAGUUUCUAUUUAUAUCUAAUGUAGUUAUAGUUAUCGAAGUUCGUACAUCGGGACAGCCGGAAGAUUAAUCGGCCGGUGACCGGUUUUGGACAUUCCGGCGAGUAGUUGAUGACUUGGGGGAAAAGGCUGAUAUUGUAUCAAGCACGUGAAGAGUGCCGUGAUGUGAGCUGAGGGUAAUUUUGUCAAUUAGGUGUGUAGUUUUUGUUAUUUAUAACAGUUCCCGCUAUCAAAUUACACUAUUUUGAAAGGUACAAAUUUCAUUACUCAUUGGAAAAAAUUCAAUUCCGAAUUAUUAUUAUACUUCAUUUAACACAUGUGUAACUUUACUAAUGUACGAAACUUCAAAUUAAUAAUUAAAAAGAAGUCUGGGAAAUUUGUAGUUGAAUUAUGAUUUAUUACACAAAAUACACAGUAGAAAGUGACACAUUUCUAUA